UUUCCUGCUUCAUCUGAACAGGUUGUGACUGUGUUUUGUUGUUUUCUGCAGGGAAUCCCUCUGACAUGACUGUCAUCAUCGUCAUUGUUGCAGUGGUUGUUCUUGCUCUCGUCGCCAUCGCUGUCAUUGGAUACUUCAUUUACAAAAAGAACAAAGCCAAACGCCCUCCAUCUCCUGUAAGCAACACUGAAGUUUUGGAGGAGCUGAAUCCAAAAGCCUAAAUGACAAACACGCCACCCUGAACACAGUUUAUGGAUAACUUUUACAUUGGAUCAAGAAACAUCCUCCUCUGUAAACUGGGAAUUCAUUGAUUAUUGAUCACCUUUUAUAAACUGAUAGAAUCAGGGUUGGGAUUGAGGAGUAAAUGCUUAUUGAAUGCCUUACAAGAAAACCAAUUUUAAAAAUUAGUUAACAAAAAAAA